GCCUGGCUGGCUCAGUCAGUACAGUGCGUGAUUCUUGAUCUUGGAGUUGUGAGUUCAAGCCCCACGUUGGGUG
rnacentral:tRNA from 1 species